rnacentral:rRNA from 1 species
GACGAACGCUGGCGGCGUGCUUAACACAUGCAAGUCGAACGGACAGGCCCUGCUUUUGUGGGGUGCUCGAGUGGCGAACGGGUGAGUAACACGUGAGUAACCUGCCCUUGACUUUGGGAUAACUUCAGGAAACUGGGGCUAAUACCGGAUAGGAGCUCUUGCUGCAUGGUGGGGGUUGGUAAGUUUCGGCGGUUGGGGAUGGACUCGCGGCUUAUCAGCUUGUUGGUGGGGUAGUGGCUUACCAAGGCUUUGACGGGUAGCCGGCCUGAGAGGGUGACCGGCCACAUUGGGACUGAGAUACGGCCCAGACUCCUACGGGAGGCAACAGUGGAGAAUAUUGCACAAUGGGCGGAAGCCUGAUGCAGCAACGCCGCGUGCGGGAUGACGGCCUUCGGGUGGUAAACCGCUUUCGCCGGAGACGAAGCGUGAGUGACGGUAAUGGGUAAAGAAGCACCGGCUAACUACGUG